UACUAGAGUAGCACUCGCAUAUCAAUAAGCGGAGGAAAAGAAACUAACAAGGAUUCCCCUAGUAACGGCGAGUGAAGCGGGAAGAGCUCAAAUUUGAAAUCUUAAAGGGUUUCCCUUUACGAAUUGUAGUUUAAAGAAGUGUUUUCUGUUGAGGUUUUGGUAAAAGUUCUUUGGAAUAGGACAUCAUAGAGGGUGAGAAUCCCGUAUUUGACCUUUACUUUCAACCUUGUGAUACACUUUCAAAGAGUCGGAUUGUUUGGGAAUGCAGUCCAAAAUGGGUGGUAAAUUUCAUCUAAAGCUAAAUAUUGGCGAGAGACCGAUAGCGAACAAGUACCGUGAGGGAAAGAUGAAAAGAACUUUGAAAAGAGAGUUAAACAGUACGUGAAAUUGUCAAAAGGGAAGCGUUUGACACCAGUGUUGUUUUUCUGAAAAUCAAUUAAAGAACUGUUUAUGCUAAGUUGUUUAGACUUUAUCAGCUAACUGUUUAGUUUUGAGCCUUUCUUUAAUGCACUUUUCAGUUAACAAGUCAACAUCAAUUUCUUUUGCUGUAAAAAAGCUUGAGGAAGGUGGCUUGAGAUUCGUCUUAAGUGUUUAUAGCCUCUUGCCUAUGCAGUCGGAGAGAUUGAGGUCUGCAGCGUAGAUCCUUCGGGGCUAAAUGCAUUUGUGCUAAGUUAUAGCAUUUUAUAGACAACUUGUUGACUAUGAUUUGUCUUGUAGCUUACUCGCUUAUGUUAUUUUACCUACGCUUAGGAUGUUGAAGACUCUACAGAGAUA
rnacentral:rRNA from 1 species